CAGCGCCCCACAGAAGCUUGCUUCGUGGCGGGCUACCCUACUUCGGUAGGAUCUGGUCGUCGAACCUCUCGGAGAAGUUCGGUCCUGAACUCCACCCUUGAAUAAAUUACCUUUGUUGCUUUGGCGGGCCGCCUCGUGCCAGCGGCUUCGGCUGUUGAGUGCCCGCCAGAGGACCACAACUCUUGUUUUUUGUGAUGUCUGAGUACUAUAUAAUAGUUAAAACUUUCAACAACGGAUCUCUUGGUUCUGGCAUCGAUGAAGAACGCAGCGAAAUGCGAUAAGUAAUGUGAAUUGCAGAAUUCAGUGAAUCAUCGAAUCUUUGAACGCACAUUGCGCCCUCUGGUAUUCCGGGGGGCAUGCCUGUUCGAGCGUCAUUAUAACCACUCAAGCUCUCGCUUGGUAUUGGGGCUCGCGGUUCCGCGGCCCCUAAAAUCAGUGGCGGUGCCUGUCGGCUCUACGCGUAGUAAUACUCCUCGCGAUUGAGUCCGGUAGGUCUACUUGCCAGCAACCCCCAAUUUUUACAGGUUGACCUCGGAUCAGGUAGGGAUACCCGCUGAACUUAAGCAUAUCAAUAAGCGGAGGAAAAGAAACCAACAGGGAUUACCUCAGUAACGGCGAGUGAAGCGGUAACAGCUCANAUUUGAAAGCUAGCUCUUUUAGGGUUCGCAUUGUAAUUUGUAGAAGAUGCUUCGAGUGUGGCCCCGGUCUAAGUUCCUUGGAACAGGACGUCAUAGAGGGUGAGAAUCCCGUAUGUGACUGGGUGC
rnacentral:rRNA from 1 species